CUACGGGAUGCUCCAGUAAGGAAUAUUGCGCAAUGGAGGCAACUCUGACGCAGCCAUGCCGCGUGCAGGACUGAAGGCCUUAUGGGUCGUAAACUGCUUUUAUUUAGGAAUAAACUUUCGUACGUGUACGAGACUGAAGGUACUAAAUGAAUAAGCACCGGCUAACUCCGUGCCAGCAGCCGCGGUAAUACGGAGGGCGCAAGCGUUAUCCGGAUUUAUUGGGUUUAAAGGGUGCGCAGGCGGACUAUUAAGUCAGAGGUGAAAUCACGGAGCUCAACUUCGGAACUGCCUUUGAUACUGGUAGUCUUGAAUACGGUUGAAGUAGGCGGAAUGUAGCAUGUAGCGGUGAAAUGCAUAGAGAUGCUACAGAACACCGAUCGCGAAGGCAGCUUACUAAGCCGAUAUUGACGCUCAGGCACGAAAGCGUGGGGAGCGAACAGGAUUAGAUACCCUAGUAGUC
rnacentral:rRNA from 1 species